rnacentral:lncRNA from 1 species
AACACAUUAUAUCUACCCAACUCUAAGUGAUUGGAGGUCACUAUUCCGAUUUGUUAACUUACAGGUUUCCAUUGCUUUUGUCACUCAAACCUGGGUGGCAUGGUAAGGGGCAUGAAUGAUAAACACAGCAGCGUUAUCUGUGUCGGAGGCCUAAAAUAGAGUGUGAGCCAGGCUUCCAGGCCUUCAGCUCUCCAUAUAUGUCUCCUGCUCCCAGGCUAGUGUCUCUGGCUGCUUCCACUGCCUUUCUGACAUUUCCACCUGCUGCCUGAGCUGCUUUAUAUAGCCCCUCACCCCCCCCUGCUGCUCUCAUUUGGCCCAUAGUCUUUUUUAUGUUUACAUACCACAUCUGACAAGGCCUGGGCCUCAUACUGUAUUUAACAAAUUGAGCAGACUCCAGCAGAAGCUGGAGAGAAGAGAGAUUGACGAGUGAAGAAGAAGAAGGAAAAGAAGAAGAGAUUGAGAUUUCUCUGGCUCUCACUGUCUAAUAUGCCUCACCCUGAGAGGCACAUGUGUCUGCAUGAAGAAUGUCUCUGAACGAAAUGCUGCUUAACCAACUGAGGGAGAUCACUGGCGUUCAGGACAUGCAGGUUCUUCAGAGCGCCCUUAAUGCAAGCCAGUGGGAUGUUAGCCAUGCUGUUGGUCUUCUCACAACACAAACAUCAGAGGAGGAGCAGGCGCCUGAAGAAUCUUCUACUGUCGACCAGAACACAGAAGCCUCCAACGUACACAACAGUAAGAGCUCACAUGAAAAAUUGUAACUUUUUUUAUAUAUAUCUUUAAAUAUAAAUACUUUUUGUUAUUUGUUUAGUAUGAUUCAAAUGGUUUUGAGAAAUGUGAAGAAAAUGGC